GCCAGGCAUGGUGGCUCACGCCUGUAAUCCCAGCACUUUGGGAGGCCGAGGUGGGUGGAUCACCUGAGGUCAGGAGUUCGAGACCAGCCUGACCAACAUGGUGAAACCCCAUCUCUA
rnacentral:sRNA from 1 species